ACCAUUGGGCAUGAGUUUCACGACCAGCCGCGGGUAGGCAAUGUUGGAGCAGCCCACCUCAGUACCGCACACACGCUUACACACCUCGGGCACCACGCACGCCACCUCAUCUGCAGGCAAGAGAGCGUGACAUGGCUAGAACGGGACCUUGUCUGGGAACUCGGAUCCCUGAAGUGGGGAUGGGAGAUCCUAGUGGAAGAGAGAUGGGACCCCUCGUGGGAGGUGGGACUGGGUGACUGGAUUCCCAAAUCAAAGGACAGUAACAGAAAUGGAAAACAGGCACUUGAAUGCAUGCAACAAGAAAGGGGCUGGAUGGGGCACAGGACACUUGAUGGGGGUGGGGUUGCAGACGUUACCCGGAUAAAGAAUGCGGCUGAUCAUGCCUGGCAUGACCAUGAGGAACAUGGGCAUCAGCUUCAAGUAGCCGCACAGUAUGCAGCCCGCCUUGAUGUGAGUCAGGUUCUUCCCGGCCAGACAGCGCUGCACAAUGACCUGGGGCAAGGUCCGUUCAACAAUCUGUGACCAGUCCUGGAUUCCCUGCCCCUCAGGCUUUGCCUUAACUGGUUGCCCUAAUUCAGGCCUGCCUCUGGCUCAGCAAUUCACUUGCUGGCAAUUCGCUUUCACUUACAGACCCAAAUUCUUUGGAUCCCAGUGGCACUGGUUUAACUCCAUCCUGGCCAAGUUCCCGACCCCUCAGACCAUGCAGUGGGGCUCCCACAGAUGUGUUCUGGCUCCACCCAUCUCAGCCCUGCUCAUAGCGGUUCUGGUUCUGCCCCGGCCUAGCUCCCGGCUAAAGCCCUGACCCCGCACCUGGUCGCUGCACCAGUACCAGCCUGAGACGAUGGUAAGACCCAGGAGCAGUGCAGGCCACGGCAAGUCCCCUGUCACAGCGUCCCGGAGCAGGUGGUAGGAGUCGGGCCGGGGUCGAUAGCAGGAACUUGAGAUGUUGCCCACAGCCGGAUCCUCAGAAACCGUCAGCGACGUCAUUGCCCCCAAGUAUUUGUCGAAAAGCCCCGAAUACCCGCCCACCUCGUGGAAGGCUGUGAGGGCAAGGCUGUCAGGGGAUCUGGGGCCCACACCAAGGCCCUCCCUAGGACCCACAUGCUGGAGACAUGGGCUGCCUCUGCUCCCAGGUGGAGAACUCUGCAACUUGCAACCUCCGUGCCCCUCCCCAACUGGUUGAGCUCCGUACCGUAACCCAUGAGGACGAAGGCCCCGCCAAG
rnacentral:lncRNA from 1 species